UUUAAUAUGGGUGCUUAAUUUGAGAGAGAAAUUUAUCUCUUUUAUUAGCUACUACAUUUCCGUACGUGGCAAAGAAGUUUCUAAUCCCUCUAACUUUCUCCAAAACUUAGUUAAAUACCGUUAAGCUCAUAGAGAUUCCAUUCUCUCCUUCUUUUUACUCAUACUAGUAAAUACCAUAAUAAUAAGAAAUGUAGUUUUCUACUGAUUACUAGUUAAUCCGGUUAUUUCAUAAAU